UGAGUGGCGGACGGGUGAGUAACGCGUGGGUAACCUGCCUUGUACAGGGGGAUAACAGUUGGAAACGGCUGCUAAUACCGCAUAAGCGCACAGUACCGCAUGGUAUAGUGUGAAAAACUCCGGUGGUAUAAGAUGGACCCGCGUUUGAUUAGCUAGUUGGUGGGGUAACGGCCUACCAAGGCGACGAUCAAUAGCCGACCUGAGAGGGUGACCGGCCACAUUGGGACUGAGACACGGCCCAAACUCC
rnacentral:rRNA from 1 species